AGUUAUCAGGCCACUGUCACAACGUACCCUAAGGGACUGAAGUUUCCCCCCAAAAAAGGUCUCACGGUGGAGGAAAAGCCUGAAGCCUGUUGCCAGCCAGAAGAGGGACUUGCCUCUCAGGACACAGCACAGUGCUGCUGCUAACUGCACAGCGAGGGAGCAGAGCCGGGAGCUGAAGGUGUGCUGUGUCAGUGACAGAAUGGAAAACCAAGAUAGCAGCCCUGACAAGAUCCACCCCUGAGGAUUCUGGGAUGCCUGGUCCUGCCUCAGGCUGUUCCAAUGCUGUUUCCUCAAGAGACUUGCUUCCAGAACAGCUUCAGAAAGCUGCUGACCCCAGAUGAUCUUAAUUCAUCCAGCUGUACAAACUGAUCUAGUCGGGACUUCCCUAAAGCCUGAAUUUUCCCAGCAUAUAGAGACUGGACAACAAACGCUGCCAGCUAGCUUUCUUUUGACUUAACCAUUUUUCCUUUCCCUUGGGCCCUCAAAAAGGAAUUCUUCAUCCAAAUUCAGCAGGAAGCAAUUAUCAGAAGACUUUCAUCUUAGUCCCUUAAGUUGGAUCUUUUUUGACAUCAAGACAUAUCAGCGCCUGGCAGCAUCCCAUUCAACUUGGAGGAAGAUGAUAAAAUCAAAAGACCUCCAUUUGGAGGUGGCUUCAAUUGUGGCAAGCCAGCCGCUGGGCAAAGAAAAUACCCUCACUUCAUCUGCAGACAAAAUGCUGUUCAAAAAGGACAAACGGAUGUAGGGAAGUCUGUUGCCAAGCGCUGCCAAUACAGGGUAAGCAAGGCCUUCAUAACCCGUGCUUCACAGAUGUCUGUCAGAUGUUCUGGGCCAGAAGGCUGGAGAGGAUGCUCCAACAUUUAGAGAAUAUUGGGGACUGUCUAGGCAGUUAGCUGUCUCUGUCAUUUUUAAUUAUUGGAAGCUGUGUCCUGUGCUUCCUGCACACUCAGCUAAUAUUUAUUCCGUCUCAGGUCUCUGAUGGGGUUGAAGACUACACAGUCAUCGUCUUACCAUAAGCUUAAGUUGUUUAGGAUUUAAGCAGAUGCUUUAGGUCUAAAAUAAUGUUUUUAGAAAGGUAAUACAAGGUAGGAUAGAAAAUUAUUUUGAUAUAGAACCCUGAACUCACCAAGAUGGGAUAAGUGAUAGAACCCUGAAUUCACCAAGAUGGGAUAAGUUGCCAAAUAUAAACGGACUAGACAUUAUGGAUAUAAAUCUUACCUAAUAGUUUUC